GACGAAGGGUGCAAGCGUUAUCCGGGUUCAUUGGGUUUAAAGGGAGCGUAGGUGGCCUUAUAAGUCAGUGGUGAAAUCUCUGGGCUUAACCCAGAAAUUGCCAUUGAUACUGUAGGGCUUGAGUAUAGAUGCCGUUGGCGGAAUAUGACAUGUAGUGGUGAAAUACAUAGAGAUGUCAUAGAACACCGAUUGCGAAGGCAGCUAACGAAACUAUAACUGACACUGAGGCUCGAAAGUGUGGGGAUCAAACAGG
rnacentral:rRNA from 1 species